GGUAACGCGGUGGGGUUGAUCUUCCAUGGUGUGAAGACUUCGUUCUUUCGCUCUUUGCAAUGACUCUUGGUGCUACUCACUCUGGGUUCACGCUGCCUUUAUGAGUUGUGAGACUCACCGCGAAGGUCUGUAGCUUCACAGCUGAAGCCAUCGAGACCACGAACCCACCAGGAGGAACGAACAACUCCAGAAGCACCGCCUUAAAAGCUGUAACACCCACCGCGAAGAUCUGCAGGUUCACUCCUGAGCUGCCGAGACCACGAACCCACCGGAAGAAAGAAACUUCGAACACAUCCGAACAUGAGAAAUAACAAACUCCAGAUACGCGUCUUUUAAGAACUGUAGCAAUCACCGUGAGGGUCCGCGGCUUCAUUCUUGAAGUGAGACCAAGAACCCACCAAUUCCGGACGCAACUGCCCUCCAGCCUGGGCGACAGAGCGAGACUCCGUCUCAAAAAAAAAAAAAAAAAAAAAAAAAAAAAACAGAAACAAUCCCACCCAGCUUUAGCAAGUCGGAGGAGGUGAGGCCCACUUUUCUACUUUCCUGAUUGGAAGGAGAAGGAAGUGCACAGGCAGAGCGGGAGGCGGGGGGGCCGCCGGGUGGGGGGCGCCGGGGCGGGGGCGCCUGCCAGGCCCAAGGGCAGUGAGGGAGCAGCUGGACUGAGUAGAGAAUUGCGGCGGGGUGGGGGGAGUUUUUUUUGUUUGUUGUUUCUUUACGUGUGUGCGUGUUUCAGAAGUGAAGACCAGAAUUAGAGUGGUUAUCUAAAGACAGAUUUGAAUCUGGGGUUUAGAAGAAAACAGCGGUGUUACAAAUGAAAACAAAAUGGGUCCUGUCUGAGAAGCCCCAGGAGAGAACACCUAUAUUAUUAAAGGAAGCAUGGACACUAGUGAGCCUUAUAUUUCUAUUCUUUUUUUUUUUUCUCUGAGACAGAGUGUCGGUCUGUCGCCCAGGCUGGAGUGCAGUGGCGCGAUCUCAGCUCACUGCAACCUCCGCCUCCCAGGUUCAAGCAAUUCUCCUGCCUCCGCCUCCCAAGUAUCUGCGAUUACAGGCGCACGCCACCAUGCCCGCCUAAUUUUUGUAUUUUUAGUAGAAACAGGGUUUCACCAUGUUGGCCAGGCUGGUCUGAAACUCCUGACCUCAGAUGAUCUGCCCUCCUUGGCCUCCCAAACUGCUCUAUUCUAUUCUCUCUCCUGUCUCUCUCUUUUUUUUUUUUUUUUUUUGAGGCAGGGUCUCACUCUGUCAUCCAGGUUGGAGUGCAGCAGCCCCAUCAUAGCUGACUGCAGCCUUGAACUCCUGGGCUCAAGCGAUCUUCCCACCUCAGCCUCCCAAGUAGCUGGGAGGACAGCCACCGCUCCUGGCCUGAGUCUUCUAUUGUCUUUCCUUUUCCUUUUGGUCUGGGGGGUUCCUCACCUUUUUCCUUUAUCUAGAUUAGUGGCGCAUUUAUACUCGAGUAAAUGACUGUACUUUUUAAACUGCUAUAAUAUUUUGAGGGGCAGGUUAGAGGAGUCAUAAGCCUUAGUCCUAAAGAGCUUGUGUUACUUCAAGCAUCAGUCACAUAGGGGAGGGGACAGAGGAUGGUCUCAAGUGUUCUGAAAUCACUCUAAUGUACGUAGAGGGGCCAACCAGAAGAGGGAAGCUAUAGUGUCUAAAGAGUUCCUGAGCCUCUGAUAAGGGGAGAGCAUGUGACAACAGUGAAAAUCCAUUUAAUGCCAAGGGGGUGGGGGGAUUUAGAAUUACUUGCCUGAGAAGCAACAUCAUCUCAGGUGGCAGCCAAGCCUUCAUACUGGAAGCAGAGAAGAACCGCCUCCUCCCUAGUGAUGCAGGGCUAGGGGCAGGAUGGGCUGGCCUCUCUCCUAGGCACAGGCUGAGCCCUGCAGCCCCUCCCAUGGGAGGAGCUGGCUAUUUCCCUCCACCCUAGUGCUUUCAGGAACUCAGCCAGGCCCAGGCUCCCUCCCCUUCUCACCUUCCAGCUCUGCCGUAGGUCUGAGCUUCUGCCACAGUGGCCUCAUUUCCCUUCUCAUGCCCAACAGGUGCCCCAGGGCUCUGACCCACAGGUCACUUUAUACAGAAUCGUGCAUUGCAAAUUGUUUUUUCUAUGUCCAGGAGAUUCAAGAGUCAUCUCAAAUAUGAUUUGAACGGGAGUUUCUUUGAAUUCAUUAUUGGUAACUGGCUAAUCAAUAAAAUUCCCCCUGGACAUGAAGAAGACAAGACAGGAUUCGCCCCUGGUCAGAGUUUUACAGAGGGUUUUUUUUUCCUUUUUUUCCCCCCCCCCCCCCCCCGAGAUGGAGUCUCGCUCUGUUGCCAGGCUGGAGUGCAGUGACGCGAUCUCGGCUUACUGCAUCCUCCACCUCCCGUGUUCAAGCAAUUCUUGUUCCUCAGCCUCCCAAGUAGCUGGGAUUACAGGCACACGCCACCACGCCCAGCUAAUUUUUUGUUUUGUAUUUUCAGUAGAGACGGGGUUUCACUAUGUUGGCCAGGCUGGUUUCGAUCAUCUGACCUCGUGAUCUGCCUGCCUCAGUCUCCCAAAGUGCUGGGAUUACAGGCAUGAGCCACCGCGCCCGGCCUUACGGAGGUUUUCUUCAUGACUUGUUUCCUUUUCUUCAUUUCAUGCUCCAGUUUCAUUAUUUUAGUGAAUUUGAGCUGAGAGUAGCUCCAAACCACAUAAUGAAGAAUAUUCUACUUCAAUUACAGUUACCCAUUGUUCUGUGGGGUCUGGGGUGCAUGGAUAAAGAUAUUAACCUGGCUUCAUAAUGAUGGCAAGAGGGGAAAGGGACGUAGAUUUCAACUGGUCUGGGUUCAUGUGUGUACACACACACGCACACGAGCACAUAAGCCUUAUUAAGAUGCACUGUGGAAUAAUACAAAGGUACAGGGAGAACAGGCGUAUUUACAGGCUGUAAGUGGGAAUGUAAUGUAACAUUUUCUAUACCAAAACCCUUAAAA
rnacentral:lncRNA from 1 species